GAUGAACGCUGACAGAAUGCUUAACACAUGCAAGUCAACUUGAAUUUGGGUUUUUAACUUAGGUUUGGGUGGCGGACGGGUGAGUAACGCGUAAAGAACUUGCCUCACAGCUAGGGACAACAUUUGGAAACGAAUGCUAAUACCUAAUAUUAUGAUAAUAGGGCAUCCUAUAAUUAUGAAAGCUAUAAGCGCUGUGAGAGAGCUUUGCGUCCCAUUAGCUAGUUGGAGAGGUAACGGCUCACCAAGGCGAUGAUGGGUAGCCGGCCUGAGAGGGUGAUCGGCCACAAGGGGACUGAGACACGGCCCUUACUCCUACGGGAGGCAGCAGUGGGGAAUAUUGGACAAUGGACCAAGAGUCUGAUCCAGCAAUUCUGUGUGCACGAUGAAGUUUUUCGGAAUGUAAAGUGCUUUCAGUUGGGAAGAAAGAAAUGACGGUACCAACAGAAGAAGUGACGGCUAAAUACGUGCCAGCAGCCGCGGUAAUACGUAUGUCACGAGCGUUAUCCGGAUUUAUUGGGCGUAAAGCGCGUCUAGGUGGUUAUGUAAGUCUGAUGUGAAAAUGCAGGGCUCAACUCUGUAUUGCGUUGGAAACUGUAUAACUAGAGUACUGGAGAGGUAAGCGGAACUACAAGUGUAGAGGUGAAAUUCGUAGAUAUUUGUAGGAAUGCCGAUGGGGAAGCCAGCUUACUGGACAGAUACUGACGCUGAAGCGCGAAAGCGUGGGGUAGCAAACAGG
rnacentral:rRNA from 1 species